UGCAGUCGAGCGGACAGAAGGGAGCUUGCUCCCGGAUGUUAGCGGCGGACGGGUGAGUAACACGUGGGUAACCUGCCUGUAAGACUGGGAUAACUCCGGGAAACCGGAGCUAAUACCGGAUAGUUCCUUGAACCGCAUGGUUCAAGGAUGAAAGACGGUUUCGGCUGUCACUUACAGAUGGACCCGCGGCGCAUUAGCUAGUUGGUGGGGUAAUGGCUCACCAAGGCGACGAUGCGUAGCCGACCUGAGAGGGUGAUCGGCCACACUGGGACUGAGACACGGCCCAGACUCCUACGGGAGGCAGCAGUAGGGAAUCUUCCGCAAUGGACGAAAGUCUGACGGAGCAACGCCGCGUGAGUGAUGAAGGUUUUCGGAUCGUAAAGCUCUGUUGUUAGGGAAGAACAAGUGCGAGAGUAACUGCUCGCACCUUGACGGUACCUAACCAGAAAGCCACGGCUAACUACGUGCCAGCAGCCGCGGUAAUACGUAGGUGGCAAGCGUUGUCCGGAAUUAUUGGGCGUAAAGGGCUCGCAGGCGGUUUCUUAAGUCUGAUGUGAAAGCCCCCGGCUCAACCGGGGAGGGUCAUUGGAAACUGGGAAACUUGAGUGCAGAAGAGGAGAGUGGAAUUCCACGUGUAGCGGUGAAAUGCGUAGAGAUGUGGAGGAACACCAGUGGCGAAGGCGACUCUCUGGUCUGUAACUGACGCUGAGGAGCGAAAGCGUGGGGAGCGAACAGGAUUAGAUACCCUGGUAGUCCACGCCGUAAACGAUGAGUGCUAAGUGUUUAGGGGGGUUUCCCGCCCCUUAGUGCUGCAGCUAACGCAUUAAGCACUCCGCCUGGGGGAGUACGGUCGCAAGACUGAAACUCAAAGGAAUUGACGGGGGCCCGCACAAGCGGUGGAGCAUGUGGGUUUAAUUCGAAGCAACGCGAAGAACCUUACCAGGUCUUGACAUCCUCUGACAACCCU
rnacentral:rRNA from 1 species